GUAAGGAAUAUUGGACAAUGGCCGCAAGGCUGAUCCAGCCAUGCCGCGUGAAGGAUGAAGGUGCUAUGCAUUGUAAACUUCUUUUGUCCCGGAAUAAACCCCUGAUUUCUAUCGGGGCUGAAUGUACGGGAAGAAUAAGGGACGGCUAACUUCGUGCCAGCAGCCGCGGUAAUACGAAGGUCCCAAGCGUUAUCCGGAUUUAUUGGGUUUAAAGGGUGCGUAGGCGGGUUGUUAAGUCAGUGGUGAAAGCCUACAGCUUAACUGUAGAAUUGCCAUUGAUACUGACGAUCUUGAGUAUGGUUGAGGAGGGCGGAAUGUGUCAUGUAGCGGUGAAAUGCUUAGAUAUGACACAGAACACCGAUUGCGAAGGCAGCUCUCUAAGCCAAUACUGACGCUGAUGCACGAAAGCGUGGGGAGCAAACAGGAUUAGAAACCCUGGUAGUCC
rnacentral:rRNA from 1 species